GAUGAAGAACGUAGCGAAAUGAGAUAAGUAAUGUGAAUUGCAGAAUUCAGUGAAUCAUCGAAUCUUUGAACGCACAUUGCGCCCCCUGGUAUUCCGGGGGGCAUGCCUGUCCGAGCGUCAUUACAACCCUCAAGCUCAGCUUGGUGUUGGGCCCCGCCGCCCCGGCGGGCCCUAAAGUCAGUGGCGGUGCCGUCCGGCUCCGAGCGUAGUAAUUCUUCUCGCUCUGGAGGUCCGGUCGUGUGCUCGCCAGCAACCCCCAAUUUUUUUCAGGUUGACCUCGGAUCAGGUAGGGAUACCCGCUGAACUUAAGCAUAUCAAUAAGCGGAGGA
rnacentral:misc_RNA from 1 species